CCACCUACGGGAGGCAGCAGUGGGGAAUAUUGCACAAUGGGGGAAACCCUGAUGCAGCGACGCCGCGUGAGUGAAGAAGUAUUUCGGUACGUAAAGCUCUAUCAGCAGGGAAGAAAAAAAGUCCUUUGGACUUUGGACGGUACCUGACCAAGAAGCCCCGGCUAACUACGUGCCAGCAGCCGCGGUAAUACGUAGGGGGCGAGCGUUAUCCGGAUUUACUGGGUGUAAAGGGAGCGUAGACGGUUCUGCAAGUCUGAAGUGAAAGCCCGUGGCUUAACCGCGGAACGGCUUUGGAAACUGUGGAA
rnacentral:rRNA from 1 species